rnacentral:rRNA from 1 species
AUUGAACGCUGGCGGAAUGCUUUACACAUGCAAGUCGAACGGCAGCACGGGUGCUUGCACCUGGUGGCGAGUGGCGAACGGGUGAGUAAUACAUCGGAACGUACCCAGUUAUGGGGGAUAACUAACCGAAAGGUUAGCUAAUACCGCAUACGCCCUGAGGGGGCAAGCGGGGGACCGUACGGCCUCGCGUAAUUGGAGCGGCAGAUGUCUGAUUAGCUAGUUGGUGAGGUAAAGGCUCACCAAGGCGACGAUCAGUAGCAGGUCUGAGAGGAUGAUCUGCCACACUGGAACUGAGACACGGUCCAGACUCCUACGGGAGGCAGCAGUGGGGAAUUUUGGACAAUGGGCGAAAGCCUGAUCCAGCCAUUCCGCGUGAGUGAAGAAGGCCUUCGGGUUGUAAAGCUCUUUCGGCAGGGAAGAAACGGUCUAGGUUAAUACCUUGGGCUAAUGACGGUACCUGAAGAAGAAGCACCGGCUAACUACGUGCCAGCCGCCGCGGUAA